rnacentral:rRNA from 1 species
AUUGAACGCUGGCGGCCGGCCUAACACAUGCAAGUCGAACGAGUGGCGGACGGGUGAGUAAUGCCUGGGAAACUACCUGAUGGAGGGGGAUAACUACUGGAAACGGUAGCUAAUACCGCAUACCAUCGGAUGUGCCCAGGUGGGAUUAGGUAGUAGGUGGGGUAAAGGCUCACCUAGGCGACGAUCGCUAGCUGGUCUGAGCGGAUGACCAGCCACACUGGAACUGAGACACGGUCCAGACUCCGACGGGAGGCAGCAGUGGGGAAUAUUGCACAAUGGGCGCAAGCCGGAGGCAGCCAUGCCGCGUGAAGGAAGAAGGCCUUCGGGUUGUAAAGUACUUUCAGCGGGGAGGCGUUAACCGCAGAAGAAGCACCGGCUAACUCCGUGCCAGCAGCCGCGGUAAUUC